rnacentral:rRNA from 1 species
AUGAACGCUAGCUACAGGCUUAACACAUGCAAGUCGAGGGGCAGCAUGAACUUAGCUUGCUAAGUUUGAUGGCGACCGGCGCACGGGUGAGUAACACGUAUCCAACCUGCCGAUGACUCGGGGAUAGCCUUUCGAAAGAAAGAUUAAUACCCGAUGGCAUAGUUCUUCCGCAUGGUAGAACUAUUAAAGGAUUUCGGUCAUCGAUGGGGAUGCGUUCCAUUAGGUUGUUGGCGGGGUAACGGCCCACCAAGCCUUCGAUGGAUAGGGGUUCUGAGAGGAAGGUCCCCCACAUUGGAACUGAGACACGGUCCAAACUCCUACGGGAGGCAGCAGUGAGGAAUAUUGGUCAAUGGACGAGAGUCUGAACCAGCCAAGUAGCGUGAAGGAUGACUGCCCUAUGGGUUGUAAACUUCUUUUAUACGGGAAUAAAGUGAGGCACGUGUGCCUUUUUGUAUGUACCGUAUGAAUAAGGAUCGGCUAACUCCGUGCCAGCAGCCGCGGUAAUACGGAGGAUCCGAGCGUUAUCCGGAUUUAUUGGGUUUAAAGGGAGCGUAGGCGGACGCUUAAGUCAGUUGUGAAAGUUUGCGGCUCAACCGUAAAAUUGCAGUUGAUACUGGGUGUCUUGAGUACAGUAGAGGCAGGCGGAAUUCGUGGUGUAGCGGUGAAAUGCUUAGAUAUCACGAAGAACUCCGAUUGCGAAGGCAGCCUGCUGGACUGUAACUGACGCUGAUGCUCGAAAGUGUGGGUAUCAAACAGGAUUAGAUACCCUGGUAGUCCACACAGUAAACGAUGAAUACUCGCUGUUUGCGAUAUACAGUAAGCGGCCAAGCGAAAGCGUUAAGUAUUCCACCUGGGGAGUACGCCGGCAACGGUGAAACUCAAAGGAAUUGACGGGGGCCCGCACAAGCAGCGGAGCAUGUGGUUUAAUUCGAAGCAACGCGAAGAACCUUACCAGGUCUUGACAUCCGUGUAAAGCCGCAGAGAUGUGGUGUGAGCUUGCUCAAUACGAGACAGGUGGUGCAUGGUUGUCGUCAGCUCGUGUCGUGAGAUGUUGGGUUAAGUCCCGCAACGAGCGCAACCCUUAUCGUCCGUUACUAACAGGUAAAGCUGAGGACUCAGACGAGACCGCCGGGGACAACUCGGAGGAAGGUGGGGACGACGUCAAAUCAUCAUGCCCCUUAUGACCUGGGCUACACACGUACUACAAUGGCUAUAACAAAGAGAAGCGAGACCGCGAGGUGGAGCAAAACUCAAAAAAGUAGUCUCAGUUCGGAUUGUAGACUGAAAUUCGUCUACAUGAAGCUGGAAUUGCUAGUAAUGGCAGGUCAGCAUACUGCCGUGAAUACGUUCCCGGGCCUUGUACACACCGCCCGUCACACCAUGAGAGUUGGGAAUACCCGAAGCCUGUAAGCUAACGCAAGAGGCAGCAGUCGAAGGUAGAAUCAAUGAUUGGGGUG